rnacentral:rRNA from 1 species
CCUACGGGGUGCAGCAGUGAGGAAUAUUGGUCAAUGGCCGGGAGGCUGAACCAGCCAAGUCGCGUGAGGGAAGACGGCCCUACGGGUUGUAAACCUCUUUUGUCAGGGAGCAAGGUGCAGGUCGGGACCUGCUGUGAGAGUACCUGAAGAAAAAGCAUCGGCUAACUCCGUGCCAGCAGCCGCGGUAAUACGGAGGCUGCGAGCGUUAUCCGGAUUUAUUGGGUUUAAAGGGUGCGCAGGCGGAGGCACAAGUCAGCGGUAAAAUCGCGGGGCUCAACCCCGGCGAGCCGGUGAAACUGGCGGGCUGGAGUUGGAGAGAGGUACGCGGAAUGCGCGGUGUAGCGGUGAAAUGCUUAGAUAUCGCGCAGAACCCCGAUUGCGAAGGCAGCGUACCGGCUCCACACUGACGCUGAGGCACGAAAGCGUGGGUAUCGAACAGGAUUAGAUACCCCAGUAGUC